rnacentral:rRNA from 1 species
UAAAACCUUUUUAAAUUGGCGGCAUUUCAUUUUAUUAGAGGAACCUGUUUUUCAAUCGAUAACCCACGUUAUAUUUUACUUCAAUUAAAAUUUAUAUACCGCCAUUACAAGAAUUAAUUAUAAAAAUAUUAUUCUUAAUAAAAAAUAAAAAAAUAGGUCAAGGUGUAAUUUAUGUUAAAGAUAAAAUGGGUUACUUUAAAUAAAUUUAAGAAUUAUUAAUUUAAAAAUAAAUAUAAAAAAGGAUUUAAAAGUAAUAAUUAAAUUAUAUUUAAUUAAA